rnacentral:rRNA from 1 species
CCUACGGGAGGCUGCAGUGGGGAAUAUUGGGCAAUGGGCGCAAGCCUGACCCAGCAACGCCGCGUGAAGGAAGAAGGCUUUCGGGUUGUAAACUUCUUUUAAGAGGGAAGAGCAGAAGACGGUACCUCUUGAAUAAGCCACGGCUAACUACGUGCCAGCAGCCGCGGUAAUACGUAGGUGGCAAGCGUUUUCCGGAUUUACUGGGGGUAAAGGGCGUGUAGCCGGGCUGACAAGUCAGAUGUGAAAGUCCGGGGAGCAGCCCCGGACCUGCAUUUGAAACUGUUGGUCUUGAGUAUCGGAGAGGCAGGCGGAAUUCCUAGUGUAGCGGUGAAAUGCGUAGAUAUUAGGAGGAACUCCAGUGGCGAAGGCGGCCUGCUGGACGCCAACUGACGGUGAGGCGCGAAAGCGUGGGGAGCAAACAGGAUUAGAUACCCUUGUAGUC